AGGAGAGGUGUCCAGAGCUCCCCUUCAACAGGAACCUUUGUGUCGCUGUGGGUGUGGAGCAGUGGAGCGUGGCCACUGGGAGGGAGCAGCCCUGGUCUGGUGGAUGUGCAGUUCAGGCACCAGAGGCUGCAGUGUCUCGAGAGGAGAGCGGACUGCUCCACACAGGAAAGCUCCUUUGCAGGCAGUAAGUUCUUUACCCAGCUGGAAAGCCCCUCCUGACUCAGUGCUUCAGACUUUGAAGUGCGCUCAGAGCGCGGCAGCACCCGGUGCGCCCGGCACCCACCGCGAUGCCUCCGGCGGGACCCCGCGCUGCCGCCCGGCGCCGGAUGGGACCUCGCGUCCACGCGUGACCCCCCAGGCUCCCGGGUCUGCCCUGAGACGCAGGUGGACAGCGCUUGCCUGGGCUGUUUGUGUGAGCAAACCUGGCACCGGCUUUCAAAACACACUUAAUUUGUUCCUCCGGGUGUUUUUUCCAAAGUCAGCUCUGGGAGUGGAAGGAGAUGCUUAAAUCUGAACCGCUGAUGCUUCCGGAAAGCCCCUGGCUUUCCUUAGAAAGAAUGCACUGUGACGCUGGUGGGGAAGUCUCCAAAGAGUCGUUAGUGUCCAGGAAGCCGCUCAACUUCCACGCCAGCUAUAGCAAAGGGCUCUGGGGCUCAUUCAGUCCUGAUGGGCAGAUGAACGUCCACUGCAGUGCAAGCCUUGAAGGUGUUUCAUUAGUGAAGUGGCUGUAAGAGGCAUCCUCACCUUCUCCCUCCGUGGGCAUCAGUCUGCAGGCAGGGAUGUGCCUUGCCAGAGCAGCUGCCAGGCAAGCAGUGAGCAAAGUGCUGCUGGAAAGCGGG
rnacentral:lncRNA from 14 species